AUCCCAAAUAAGCUGAGUGUUAGUGCUUAUUUGAUUCAUGGGAGGCCAAGAGUAAAUCUGGAAGUUUCGCUGAUAAUGCCUUUUUUCUAUUCUCGCUUGAAGGCAUUCAUUAGUAACUUUACCAUACAAUA